AUGAAUAGAGAGAAACGUGCUGCCAAAAAGCCAAACCACGAUGAAAGUGCAUGUUUGCAAUCUCCUCAUUUCUUACAUCCCACAAAUGUUGGACGCUCAAAAACUUUUUUAUUUUUACGGUGUAUUCUAAGCUGGGAUAUGGGAGUGAAUGUGUACCAAGAUUUCUUUUAUUACAAAGUGGAUGAGAAGGAAAUUUAAUAAUGCUAUAACUGCUUUAAAAAAAAUGUCAGCUUUGAUGAAGUCAAUGGCAAUUAAACAUUACACUUACAAAUAAAUUGAACAGAGCAUCUGGCUAGCCUGUAAGU
rnacentral:lncRNA from 1 species